UGAAAGUACCCAGUGAACAGAAGAGACUGUUCAUUAUAUAAAAUAAAUUGCGACGAGACAAAAUAAACCCAUAGCUCGAAAACUUUGAGCUUCAAACAACACUUUAACUCUGUAUUCAUCCGCCGCUACAUGCUGCCGAUAUUGUUGCCAACACCGCCUUUAUAGCAGACGACUAAAUAUUAACGUCUGUCUCCUUGAAUUUCAUUGAUUUUAUUCUAAUUUGUAUACAUAUAUUGUAUAUUAUAUACACCGUUACUUAUUUUUAAUAUUUAAGUCAAAAUAAAGAAGAAAAAAGUGUUCAUUUGUGAUACACGAGAGAGCGGAAGUUUAUCACCACCACCACCAUCAUCAACCUAACCACCUCCAUCACUACUACUAAUAAAUACGCGAACGCCAUCGCCGUCGUCAUAAUCAUAAUCAUCACAAUCAGCUGCAAUAAUCAAUUUAUCUGUAGUUCGAUCACUAAAGAAAUAAUCAUCCUCCGGUGCUAACUUUGACCAGUAAUUAACUACAUAUCCACCACCGCUGUCCGCAACCGCUAUAACUGCAGUCAUCACAUUCUACAUUGUCUGGACAAGUGACUUUCUCAUCCAUUCCGAUAUAAUUUCGACAACCACAUCAACAGAGAUGACACGACACAUUUUAAUACUUAGCAUUGUUGGCAUGGUGCUAGUUUCUCUUGUAAAUGCACGAUAUAUCCCAGAGGAAGAAUUGAGAUCGAAGCGCCAGACAGGCGAUAUUAAAACAGCUGAAUACCAAGCAUGGUUAGCACUUGGUGGCAUUGUACCACCGGGUUGUGUCGAGGUUGCCUGUGGGGUAGUCGAUGUACACGCCAGUGGCAAGAAAAAACGUAGUGACAUAUCAAGCGACGACAUCAAACGUUCAAUUCUGGCUCAAAGACUGAUCCGAUUUGCAGCAGAGAGACUUGCAAAGACUGAGUAAUCUAAAGAAAUGAUUCAGCAAGAUUCUUCAAUGAAAGUAAACACAUCCUUAAACCAGUCCUCAUCUGAUUGAUUGCCGGCCAGAACUUCUUUCCUAUUUUGACGAACAAACGAAAGAUUAAGAUAUAAAUGGAGAAACAAAAUUAAAUUAAAACAAUAUAUAUAUAUAUAUAUAUAUAUAUAUAUAUAUAUAUA
rnacentral:misc_RNA from 1 species